CAACUGAAAGAGGUUUUACCAAGUGACAGUUAAAUUCCCAAAGUCAGCGUAGAGUCAUCCACAUUUCUUGGUUAAACCCUAGCUUUAUAUAAUUACUUGCUAGUAUUUUGUUGGUUUUUAAUCACUGUUUUGUCCAAGAACAGGAACUCCAGAAGGAAAUGCAAAGGCAUGUAGUCCAUUUACAGCAACUCAAAGAUUAUGAAGAAAAGCUAGCGCAAGUGAAAGAACAUGCACGCAAGGAGAGAAAAAACAUCGAGAAAGAGGGCGCAAGAAGAGAAUCGAAAAUCCUUUCCUUGUCAGAUGAAACUGCUGCAGGAAAAACAGGAGGAAGACAGGAGACGCUUGGAAGAGCAGUUUAGAGCCGAAAUGGAAGUUCUAAGAGAGCAAAUGAAUAACAUUAAGAUCACUAAAUAAUCCUCAUAUUUUAGUUAAAAACAUUAGCGCGGGUACUCAGUAUUUUAGUGCAACAUUGCUUUAAGAACAUUUCUUCGACUGUUGCACUGGAUAUGAACCAAAUUAGAUUGACAAAAACAGAGUAUACAUGUUACCUUUGUUUCAUUUAAGUCACAGUUAGGAUCAUCAACUGUAGAACUGUGUAUCCAAAUCGUAAGUAAAGAGCUGUUUACAAAGUUCAA